UACGAAGGGGGCUAGCGUUGUUCGGAAUCACUGGGCGUAAAGGGCGCGUAGGCGGCUUCGUCAGUCAGGUGUGAAAGCCCUGGGCUCAACCCGGGAACUGCAUUUGAUACUGCGAAGCUCGAGUCUCGGAGAGGUUGGUGGAAUUCCCAGUGUAGAGGUGAAAUUCGUAGAGAUUGGGAAGAACACCCGUGGCGAAGGCGGCCACCUGGACAAGUAUUGACGCUGAGAAUCGAAAGCGUGGGGAGCAAACAGG
rnacentral:rRNA from 1 species